rnacentral:rRNA from 1 species
GACGAAGGGGGCAAGCGUUGUUCGGAAUUACUGGGCGUAAAGGGCGCGUAGGCGGUCUUGUUAGUCAGGCGUGAAAGCCCUGGGCUUAACCUAGGAUGUGCGCUUGAUACUGCGAGGCUUGAGUGUGGGAGAGGUUGGUGGAAUUCCCAGUGUAGAGGUGAAAUUCGUAGAUAUUGGGAAGAACACCGGUGGCGAAGGCGGCCAACUGGACCACAACUGACGCUGAGGCGCGAAAGCUAGGGGAGCAAACAGG